UUGCGCACAGACAAAACAAAGGGAAGAUACAUAGACCAUUAAUUUUCAAAUAACGGCGGUUACAAAUGUGGAGUCUGUUCCUCAAGUUGCCAAACAAAAGCCGACGAAAACCGGCAUUGCCGGCCCCCUCUUAUUCUUCACCGAGAAACAUAAACAAAACAAAGCACCGCAUUACUUCACUUGAUCACCAUGCUCUCUAUUCACUCUUCUCUGUUUCAUCUGUGUUUCCAACCACGAUGAAGAAGAAGAACAAACUUCUCCUCUGUUUUCGACCACUCACUCACGACCCUCCCCCCAGGGAUUCUGAUUCGGUGCUGCUCUCGAAUCAUAAAAAUACCGAGACUUCGAAGUUGAAAUCGGACCAAGAGGCUCUCAGAGUCACGCAGCGCCGCUCUCGAUCUCUAAAUGCUUCUUCGCGCAACUUGUGCGGUGACUUGAAAUCUGUUUUAGUCGAAGCGUCACUUCACCAGCAGAAACAACCAAGUGUUAAGGGAAAUGCGGCUAGGCUGAUGCUGAGAUCAAAGAGUCAUCAUGAUUCGAUCAAUUUAAGUAAGAGCCUAGGAAGCAUAGAAGACAAUUGUGUGUCGCUAAGCUCAAGUGCAAUUCCUGAAACAGAACGUCGAACAUCAUCGCCUUUGUCUCAAUCCAAGACUCUGGCUAAAUCGCAGAUUCAUGCAGAUGCCAACGCCAGGAGUUUAAAUUCGGGAUUAUUUGUAUUUCUCAUGAGUCUAUGGGCGACCAUCUUUUGUGGCAGAAUAUGUGCUAUACUGUUUACGUUAAUAUUUGUUUACUGCAUGCCUCGGCGGACUUGGGGCGACCGGAGAUUGAAAAGUGUUGAGAAUUUGCCCGAGGAGACGGAGAAGGAAUGCAAAAAGAGAGUUAUAAUGGAAGGGCUGCUUGAGAGGAACCAUCACAGUUGCAGAGGGAAGGUUAUUAGUUAAUUAAUUACUCAAAAAAAAUUCUUUACGUGUUUGAAUGAAUACAUAUACACGUCCAUCAGCUUUGCUCAGAACAAGCAUUUGUGUUUUCUGUGCACCUAAUAGAAAUUGUGAUUACUGUUUUCUGAUGGUCAGUUUUAUAUAUCAUUUGAGGUACCCGAACGCUAAUUUCUUAGGACUAAUCUGCUCAUUUCA